rnacentral:rRNA from 1 species
CGAACGGCAGCACGGACUUCGGUCUGGUGGCGAGUGGCGAACGGGUGAGUAAUGUAUCGAACGUGCCUAGUAGCGGGGGGAUAACUACGCGAAAAAGCGUAGCCAAUACCGGGCAUACAGCCCUUCGGGAAAGCGGGGACCUUCGGGCCUCGCACUAUUAGAGCGGCCGAUAUCGGGAUUAGUUAGUUGGUGGGGUAACGGCUCACCAAGGCGACGAUCCGCAGCUGGUUUGAGAGGACGACCAGCCACACUGGGACUGGAGACACGCCCACUCCGCCGGGAGGCAGCAGUGGGGACCGGACAACAAAACCCUGAUCCAGCCAUCCCGCGUGUGCGAUGAAGGCCUUCGGGUUGCAAAGCACUUUCGGUAGGAAAGAAACGGCACGACAAUACCCGUGCAACUGACGGUACCCAGAGAAUAGCACCGGCUAACUACGUGCCAGCAGCCGCGGUAAUACGUAGGUGCAAGCGUUAAUCGGAAUUACUGGCGUAAAGCGUGCGCAGGCGGUUCGGAAAGCAUGAAAUCCCAGAGCUUAACUUUGGAACUGCAUUUUCAAUCACCGAGCUAGAGUGUGUCGGAGGGAGGCGGAAUUCGCGUAGCAGUGAAAUGCGUAGAUAUGCGGAGGGAGCACCGAUGGCGAAGCGGCAGCUCUCUGGGAUAACACUGACGCUCAUGCACGAAAGCGUGGGGGAGCAAACAGGAUUAGAUACCCUGGUAGUCCACGCCCUAAACGAUGUCAACUAGCUGUUGGGGCCUUCGGGCCUUGGUGGCGCAGCGCAUCGGUGAAGUUGACCGCCCGGGGAGUACGGUCGCAAGAUUAAACUCAAAGGAAUUGACGUGGACCCGCACAAGCGGUGGAUGAUGAUUAAUUCGAUGCAACGCGAAACCCUUACCUCUACCCCUAUGGACAUGUCUGGAAUCCCGAAGAGAUUUGGGAGUGCUCGCAGAGAACGAACAGGUGUUGGCAUGGCUGUCGUCAGCUCGUGUCGUGAGAUGUUGGUUGGAGUCCUUGGCAACGAGCGCAACCCUUGUCAUUAUUACAUGAAAGGGCACUCCACGAGACUGCUGGUGACAACCGGGAGGAAGGUGGGGAUGACGUCAGUUCGUCCCCAUGGCUCCUAUGGGUAGGGCUUCACACGUCAUACAAUGGUCGGGACAGAGGUCGCCAACCCGCGAGGGGGAGCCAAUCCCAGAAACCCGAUCGUAGUCCGAUCGGUAGUCUGCAACUCGACUGCGUGGGUCGGAAUCGCUAGUAAUCGCGGAUCAGCAUGUCGCGGUGAAUACGUUCCCGGGUCUUGUACACACCGCCCGUCACACCAUGGAGUGGCUUUACCAGAAGUAGUUAGCCUAACCGUAAGGAGGCGAUUACCACGGGCAGGAUCCAUGACUGGGGUGAAGUCGUAACAAGGUAG